CCUACGGGUGGCAGCAGUGGGGAAUAUUGGACAAUGGGGGCAACCCUGUUCCAGCCAUGCCGCGUGUGUGAAGAAGGCCCUCGGGUUGUAAAGCACUUUCAGUGAGGAAGAACGCCUGGUGGUUAAUACCCAUCAGGAAAGACAUCACUCACAGAAGAAGCACCGGCUAACUCCGUGCCAGCAGCCGCGGUAAUACGGAGGGUACGAGCGUUAAUCGGAAUUACUGGGCGUAAAGCGCGCGUAGGUGGCUUGAUAAGCCGGUUGUGAAAGCCCCGGGCUCAACCUGGGAACGGCAUCCGGAACUGUCAAGCUAGAGUGCAGGAGAGGAAGGUAGAAUUCCCGGUGUAGCGGUGAAAUGCGUAGAGAUCGGGAGGAAUACCAGUGGCGAAGGCGGCCUUCUGGACUGACACUGACACUGAGGUGCGAAAGCGUGGGUAGCAAACAGGAUUAGAUACCCUUGUAGUC
rnacentral:rRNA from 1 species